GACAACAUGACUAGAAGGCGUAAGUCCAUGAAACAACCUGGGGAAAGGAAUUGGAGCAAAUUUAGAAAGGAAAGAUGAAGAAUUCAGCUGUUGAAACUAAAGCUAGAAGCAAAAGACCCAGGGACGGCAGUGUUGGGUCAGCAUUGGAAGAUCCACUCCCAAAAGUCACCAUUUUAACAGAGGAAAGGAAAAAGCCAUAUGAUCCUGUCAGUAGUUGCAGAAAAAGUAUUGGACUAAAUUCUACACCUGUUCAUGGUAAAAGCUAUCAGGAGACGAGAAGUAGAACAGAAACUUCUCAACAAAUAAAAGACAUGUACUCCAUACUUCCAGCAAAAAUGCCUUAUAUGAAUGGAGAAGAUACAAUACUUUCUCCCUAAGGUGGGGAUCAAGGGCAGAUAUGCCUACUCUUCAUCUGUCCAUUAAACUUUGAAAC
ensembl:lncRNA